UUUCCCCUUUGGGGUGCCGCAGGCGAGAAAUCUUCACAAUGCACGAAAGUGAGACGGGGUCAUCUCGAGUGCAGUUCGAUAAGGGGGGCUUUUCCACAGUGUAAUACCCUGGGGGACUAAGGCGGGGGCAAGUCUGGUGUCAGCCGCCGCGGUAACACCAGCUCUCCGAGUGGUGUGGACAUUUAUUGGUCCUAAAGCUUCGGUAGCUGGCUGGUCAAUUCUCCCGUUAAUCCCACCGUAUCUAAUCGUUGGCUUGCGGGGGAUACUGCCCGGCUAGGGGCCGGGAGAGGCAAGCGGUAUUUCAGGGGUAGGGGUGAAAUCUUGUAAUCCCCGGAGGACCACCAGUGGCGAAGGCUUUCUACUAGAACGCGCCUGACGGUCAGGGACGAAAGCUGGGGGAGCGAACCGGAUUAGAUACCCGGGUAGUCCCAGCCGUAAACGAUGCUAGCUAGGUGUCGGGCAGGGCGCGACCGCGUCCAGUGCCGCAGGGAAGCCGUGAAGCGAGCCACCUGGGGAGUACGGCCGCAAGGCUGAAACUUAAAGGAAUUGGCGGGGGA
rnacentral:rRNA from 1 species